AUUGCUCUGGAGUACAGGUAAGAGUUUGUUGGGGUACCUGACUAUUUAAAAAAAAUAUAACGCCGGGUUCUGACGCAGUGUGCACGCCUUCCGGACUGAAGGAAACCUGAAGCGUUAUCCCGGUCAAUGUUGCUAAAAAGGUCAGUAACUCUCGCGGCCAUACGGUAUCCUGGAGCAAUA
rnacentral:other from 1 species